UGCUUUGUUUCAGGGAUCUAG
rnacentral:siRNA from 1 species